rnacentral:rRNA from 1 species
UUAUGUACAUAUCUACAGCAUGGAUUUAAUGCAUCGGAUCCCAUUAGAACUCUGCAGUUAAGAACGCUCAAGCUAGAUUAGUAUUGGGAUGGGUGACCGCCCAAGAAGUCCUAGUAUUUUACAUGCC